AGAGAGAGAGAGAGAGAGAGAGAGAGAGAGAGAGAGAGAGAGAGAGAGAGAGAGAGAGAGAGAGAGAGAGAGAGAGAGAGAGAGAGAGAGAGAGAGAGAGAGAGAGAGAGAGAGAGAGAGAGAGAGAGAGAGAGAGAGAGAGAGAGAGAGAGAGAGAGAGAGAGAGAGAGAGAGAGAGAGAGAGAGAGAGAGAGAGAGAGAGAGAGAGAGAGAGAGAGAGAGAGAGAGAGAGAGAGAGAGAGAGAGAGGAGAGAGAGAGAGAGAGAGAGAGAGAGAGAGAGAGAGAGAGAGAGAGAGAGAGAGAGAGAGAGAGAGAGAGAGAGAAACAGAAGUAGGAGACGACAGGAUGACAGAUUAUCCCUUGGGGCACCCAUAAACUGAGAGGGCUAAAAAAAAUUAAAAAAAAAAAAAAAAAAUAAAUAAAAAAUAAAAAUGCCUCACCCUAUAUCCCUGAUGGGGAAGGAAAUGGAUUAGGGCUUUGGAGGAGGAGAAUGUGGGACGAUUAUUGGCCAUGAAAGAUUUGAAGGCACCAUUGGUAAAAGUAGUGGGAACCACUAAGUGUCAGAUAAAGAUGAUGUAAAUUGUUACAACCGGGCCGACAAAAGACUACAAACAUGGCCGCCGCUCACAAACUUACCGGCUACAGCGCCAUCUUCUGGUUGGAUGCCGUCAUGACCGAGGGUAUGCAGGCCCCUCAGCAAAUGUUACCCACUUAAGGUGAACCCCAAGGAACAAAGGGGAAUGAAAAGGUGGAGAGUUGAAAAUGAACAAGAAAAAGAAGGCAUGUGGACAUUAUAUUAUGAACUAUUGUGGUGGAAGUCAUUCUUCUUAAAGUCAAGCAGAAUUGAAGGAGGUGGUGGGAUUGUCAUUUAUUUCCAACCCCCGAUUCAGCAAACAGUUGGUCUCUGCGGUCAAUGUCAAUGAACAAAGCCCCUGGUUGAAAAGACUGAAAUAAGUGAUGAACUGACACAAAAUUAAAAACCAAGGAGCUGUUGGCACAGAGUCCCCAUCUCGACUUGCCAAUCCAUUCUGUGAAAGCAGAGAACUGGGAUCUUGUAAAAUCAUGGAAGGAAGAAAAGCUGCAACCAAAGUGGACUGGACCCUACCUUGUGUUAUUAAUCACCGAGACAGCAGUACGAACAAAAGAAAAAGGGUGGACACACGCAAACCGAUGUAAGGGUCCUGUGGAGGCCCCACCGGACAAUAUCAGCCCGUAGACUGUGCGUGAAGGGAAGGAACCAUUGACUUUGUGCCUAUUCGGAUGUUGUAUUAUUCCCUGCGCUGGCCUUCAGAACACAGUAUGACUAGCGAGAGGAGGAUAGGGAGGCGAAGAAUCUGCUGCUAGCACUAGAAAAGGAAGAUAUAGUAUAAUUCAAAAGAUGCGUAGCAAAAAGAAAAA